AACUCGGCAAAAUGACCCCGUAACUUAGGGAUAAGGGGUGCCACCAUCAGGUGGCCGCAGAGAAUAGGCCCAAGCGACUGUUUACCAAAAACAUAGGUUUCUGCUAAGUCGCAAGACGAUGUAUAGGAGCUGACGCCUGCCCGGUGCGGGAAGGUUAAGGGGGUCUGUGAGAGGAAUCGAAGCAGGGAACUUAAGCCCCAGUAGACGGCGGCCGUAAAUGUAACGGUCCUGAGGUAGCGAAAUGCCUUGUCGGGUAAGUUCCGACCCGAACGAAAGGCGUAACGAUUUGGGCACUGUCUCAACAACAGACUCGGUGAAAUUGUAAUUCC
rnacentral:rRNA from 1 species